UCGCUGGGGGAAAAGAGUGAGGAAUACUUUAACCUUUGCUCUGUGGGAAGUGAAUGGAAAGGGCAGGACAGUCCCCAUUUCCUUCAGCUGGGUGAGAGUAAUGGCUUGUCACCCACAGAUAUAUCAACUAGUGGAAAAUUUCAAGAGCCCGUUGUUUUGCUAAAGAGUUUACAAUGAGAUGACUAAUAUUAAUAAAUGAUUUUCCAGCAUGAAGACAGUGAGAGAGAACCAUAGAGGUCCCGUGGCGUUCUGAGUGUGUAUAUUGUUCUUCUCAGUGACCUGCCUAAACUUUGGGAAGCACAGAGUCCCUAACUGCAUCCUACGGGAAUUUCUGAAGAGCACCUUUCCAACAAGAGACAAGUACUGGAGGGAGAGACGUGGCUAGAAGCAUGGACGAGUCCUGUGGGCAAGAGCUGACAGUGGCCGGAGUUGCUAUGAUGGGAUCUGUUAUUCAACUGUCUUUAUUCUCGAAAUCCCCUUUCUUCUUUGAAGUGGCCGUGUCCUGUCUCAGCCUUGCAGAUAGCUGAGGGUGUAGCUAAAACUCUUUGGGAGAAACUUAUAGAGGACCAACCAAGGUCACCAAACCACGAUGACUAAUUCUUUCAGGUGACUUAAACUUGGCCCAUUGCAGUCCUGAACCGAGCAUGCCCAGAAGCAUCUGUUUUUCACCACCACUAAGAAGACAGCCUCCAGUCACUUGGUAGAAAGAAUAUUUUGAUCAGCAACGAUUUUCUCACGGCAUCAGCUUCUGCCUACCAAACCUUCCUAGAUUCCUCUGUAGGUCCUUUCUCCCACCCAGGCCAUUAAAUGUUGGGACCCUCCAAGUUCAGUCACAGACUCUUGUCUUUUUGUAAUCUACUCUCCAUCCUGAAGAAUUCGUACUCGUCCUCUUUGGGACUAUGCCGCUGAUGUUCAAGUCUACUCACUCAGACCGAGCCUCCGUCUUGAGUGUCGCCUAUAGUGAAGUAUUUACCAGCGCCUGGCCCCUUGUUUUACUUAACAGUAUCCCAUUUUAUGGACCCAGCACAUCUCAACUGUCUACCAACUGGUGGAUGUUGGAACUCUGUGAGCUUUUUAGCAGUUAUGAAUGAUACUGCUAUGACCAUCCCCUGAUAAUCCACAUGGUCUGUCAUUCCAUUUCUCUAGGGUACAUACCUAGUGGGGUGGCUGGGCUGGGGUAUG
rnacentral:sRNA from 1 species